rnacentral:rRNA from 1 species
GCCCUUUUCCGGUUGAUCCUGCCGGAGGACAUUGCUAUUGGGAUUCGAUUUAGCCAUGCUAGUCGAGCGAGUUUAGACUCGCGGCGCAUAGCUCAGUAACACGUGGCCAAGCUACCCUUCAGCCAGCGAUACCCUCGGGAAACUGAGGCUAAUAGCUGAUACGAAACACCAGCUGGAAUGCGGCGUUUACGAAAGACAUCGCUGAAGGAUGCGGCUGCGGCCGAUUAGGUAGACGGUGGGGUAACGGCCCACCGUGCCAGUAAUCGGUACGGGUGAUGAGAGUCAGAGCCCGGAGACGGAAUCUGAGACAAGAUUCCGGGCCCUACGGGGCGCAGCAGGCGCGAAACCUUUACACUGCACGGAAGUGCGAUAGGGGAAUCCCAAGUGCGAGGGCAUAUUAGCCCUCGCUUUUCUCGACUCUAAGGUGGUCGACGAAUAAGAGCUGGGCAAGACCGGUGCCAGCCGCCGCGGUAAUACCGGCAGCUCAGGUGAUGUCCCAUAUUAUUGGGCCUAAAGCGUCCGUAGCUGGCCGGCCAAGUCUAUCGGGAAAUCCACCCGCCCAACGGGUGGGCGUUCCGGUAGAAAACUGGCCGGCUUGGAACCGGAAGGCUCAAGAGAGUACGUUCCGGGGUAGGAAGUGGA